UUCUCUGCAGACGAUCCUGGGGCACAGAAAAGGAGCUAAUGUGAACGCACUGGCUUCCACAUCGAGACAGAAAUGUGGAAAAGAAAAAACCAAAAUCAAUGCCGUCAAGUGAGCAGAAUCAAUAGGUAAAGCAAAGAUAGCAUCAGACUGCUUGGAGAACAUUACCAGCAAAGUGAAGUUGCUUAUAUGCCACGGAACAGCUGCAAUAAGGAGCUUGUCAAAUUUACAGUCCACAUGGAAUACAGAUGCAGCAGAAACAUCCACCGUCAUGUUGAUGGCAGUGCAUUCCAAUUAUCUUGGUGCCGGUGCAGGGGAGAGUAUUUUUUGUCCUCAGGAAGCAAUGCCAUGACACCGCAUGUUACAAGAAUAGGUUUCUUUCCCGAUUUCUGAGGACUGAUGGGUGAUGUUUUAUAAGGUGUACUGCCCGUGUUAGCUCCUCUGAGGUCUUACUGAGAUCAUUCGACAAGUGAUAAGGACAGAGUAGUCCUGGUUGCCAUGUGUGAAGACACAAAAAGAUGCAUUCUUGAUUAGCUCCAUUCUCCAAAGGGCUUGCUGCUGCAGAAUUACAAGGAGCUUCUAUGAAUCUCAUGCCUGCCACUCAUCUGGGCUCUGCUGGUCUAACAAAUUGCUGUGAUUUAGAUAACUCAUCAGAAGGUGUUCUGUGCGGCUGGGUCAGCGUUCUGCCACGCUGUGGUUCCUUCCCCCACUGACGCUCUCCCCAGGCUGAAGGCUGCCAUUUGCACCUUCCACACAUCACCCUGCAGAUCUUGUCAGGCUUGGCAAUCCUGAAGUGGAUUUCUGAGGCUGUUGGGGCUCAGCACUGCUGCAUGCAAGCCCAGUAAAAGAUUUGUCGUGCUUUGGGUAUAGAAUGUGCACAAAUAAUGCCAUAGAUUGAAGAUGUUAAAAAAACCACCUAAUUUUAUUAGAAACCCAGCUGAGCUGCACCUGUCUUUUAAUUUACUCUUGGGCGAUGCCACGUUCCCAUCACGUUAUGGGUCCAGUAUCUUGGGUCCAGAUCCCCCUCUGUUUUCUGAAGGGAAAUUCAAAAGUGUUAAGCAGACUGCAUUAGAGAAUCAGUUGGUCUAAGCCCAAACUCAGUGAUCAGACUGAUUGCAAAAGCUUCUGACUAGUGUAUAUAAUAGGACUUGUUCCUUUGAAAUAAACAUUGUUUUGUCUUCUCUAAGCAGUGAAAUCCUGUCAAUCUGAAAGGGAAGAAGGGUAAAUCAGGCUACAGUGAGGUGUGUUGUGUAAGCAGCAGAUGAGAUGGCAAGGGAUACCCUCCCCUAAGAACCAGAUCUAAGAGCCUGUUGCUGCCCAAACUGAUUCCGUUAAUAUGAAGACAUUUAGAGUAAAAAACAUUUAGCAGUAGAUCGAUAAACAGAUAGGCAUUUAGAUUUGAUACUUGGCCACAACUAUACGGACUGACAUUGGGGAAAAAAAGCUGUUGUGUAGUUGUGUCGCUAGUUGUGAGGGGACAGUAAACUUUGGUGGGAAAGGGGAAAACGCACUGCUGAGUAGCUCUGGGUGUCUUCAGAAAUACUCAGAAGUGCACAUCCACUCAUACCAGCUGAACAGAUCAAAAACUCAAACCUCUUCUCUCUGUCACAUCAAAAACCUACAGGUGAAACCUUAAUUUACUGAAAGGUUUCACUAAACAGCUUAUCUCACAGCAUAGAGCAUUUCUUACUACCUACAGACCUUUAUUGGGUACUCGAGAGGUAUAGAUGAUCUGUUUGGGCCUGAGAAAGAAGCAGACUUGGAGAUAAUGUAAAUACCUGUUUUCUUGUAGCAGCAUGAGGUAAUGUCAUGCCAAAGAACAGAUGAUGCAAAGAUAAUAGGCAGGCUGUUCUUUAUCUUAUUCAGAAGUUACAAGGGCAGUUAAACUUCCUAGGGUUUUUCUUCUAAAACCUAGAAAAUACCCUAAUCUAAUAACAACUCACAUAAAGAUAAUGUAGAAAGAAGUCUCCUGCAAAACAAGGGUAAACUUAAAGCAGCACACAGGUGCUUAUAUUUGGAUUGAAUUUGGAGUAAUUCAACGCUGAAGGUUAAAGGGCAAACUCUUAGCUGGGCAAAUUAGAUUUAAAAUGCAAUUUUAAGACCAACAGACUGAUUUGAAAGUUGUAAAUUCAUUCAGCUUUUUGAUACUGGGGGCAGAGGGAAGAACUUUUCAAAACAUGAACAUUAUUGUUGCAGAUACCUAAAGCUCACUCAGAGUUUAUAAUGCUCCUUUGCAUAAUGACUUACAAAAUUCAAAAUAAGGCCAUAAACAGCACUGGUAAAAUUCAUUACAAGGAGAGAUGUGCUAGGAGAAAACAGUAUGCGCCUUCAUUUUGAAAGAUACUCCUGCAUUGUCAUAAUGUUAUUUAGAGCUAUUACUUAGUACUGAGUCUUGGCCUUUGUAACUGACUUCAUGACUAGAAAACUUUAAAUCAAAGAGAGUGAAGUGUUGAUAUGCUCUAUACUCUUUAAUGGGCUUCUAUAUAGAAUUAGAUUGUGAAGCAGCUGUGAUUUGUAUCAGAAAGGUCUUAUCUUCCUAGUGACUUAAACAAAUGACCUGGGACUUUUCAGAUGUCAAAAGAGUCAGGAAAACAUCAGUCAGUGAAUAAAACAUUUAAAUUUCCCAAUCAACAGUGCAAAGUUCACCUCUAAAAUACCUUGAAUGAAUACAUGCUGUCAGCUAUUUUUGCUGCUUAUAUGUUAUCAUUCUUUUGUUUUAAUUUACUCCAUUGUUCCCUGGAAUUCCCUUUACCUUAAUAUGAAAGCUGGCAUUACUAAGUAGCUUUAUUAAUCAUUUCACCCUGGCUUUCCCAGUAGUUCAAUUAGAUGUUUACUAGAAAACAAGCACAGAUUGAAAACUCCUGAUAUAUAUCAUCCUAUCCCUGUCAGGAACACAAAACCUCGCAGAUAAAAGCAAAACAUACUAUUCUUUGGAAAUGUAAGAGAUCUCUCCUUUCAAAACUCCAGGUCAUAUUUUUGAGAAUUUUUGUACAAAAUUCUAGUUUUUACUCUGUGCAGUAAAGGAAUUCAAACGCUCUUUUGAAACCAAAUGGCUGGCAGCCCUCCCUUCUCUUCCUUUGCUUAUACCAACUUCCUCAUAGGCCAUCGAGUGCCUUCACUGUUACGUACUACAAGGUGUACAAACAGGGAGGAGAAAAAUUACUUCUCAUAAACCCCCUGAUUCCUGCAACCAGAACCUAAAGGUACAGGUUUGAAGGCACAGGGGCAGAACAGGAGUAGAAAACCCAGUAGACAUGAAGAACAUCUGUUUGGACAGGUUGUAAUAAAGAGCCACAGAAUAUGUGUGACCUGUGAGAAAAGCUGCAGCGGAGCAUUAGAGCCAUAGCAGUUCUCCCUGAUGUUGGAAGUACUAUUGAAUAACUGUCUGCAAAAUUAGCUAUGCUGAAUUCCGAUGACAGAGAUGUGUAAAGAAUGAUCAUCAUAGUCACAUAUGUCUGUGGAUUCCUCUCGCAUACUCACACAUAGAUAUGACUAUACUUACUGGAUGGCAUUUAGCUGUUCUUUGGUUCAGCCGUAUUCAGACUUUAUCUACAAAAAGAAGUGAAAACAACCAUAAUGUUCCUAAACAUGCACAUGUGCACAAAAAUUCUCUUGCAUGCAGGAAUACAUAGAGUCAUGUUUCCAGGAAUUUAUAUACAGUGAAAUAUGAUAAUGACAUAUGCUGCCUGCGUUGAAUAGGUUGUUCCAAACUCACCUUAGAUUAACUUUAAUCGCGAAACUCUUUUGCCUAUAGCAGAUUUUAUUUCCAGGAUAUUGUGUUCUUGGAUCUGAGACUUGGCAGGUGACACUUAGGAGUUUUUGACAUAUUUGUUACAUAAAUGACAGCUUUCAGCAGUGCACACAGGAAUGUUUUUAAUAUGUGAAUAGGCAAGUCAUGUCUGGGACAUACACUUGUUUUCAUGUGGCUUAGAGAUCUUCAAACUGUCACUCACACAAUUGCUAGGCAAGGCUGCAGGCUCUCCAGGGUGUGGCGGCCACCACUAUACUGACAGGUUGGUUACAGUUGUUAGUUCUCUGCAAGGGUUUUGUGACAGAGCCAAAAGAUACAGAGAGGGGGGAAGGCAGUAGAAACUGAUAUUAGAAGCAGCUAAAAAAAAUAAUCAUAAGAGGCUUCACGUUCAUUUCCACACUGGUUAUGCAUAAUUUCUGAAACAAAAAAUCACAACAAAACGUGGUUGAAACACAAAAAUAACCUGCCUCCAAAAUUAUGUUUGUUUUUUGUUAUGCAUUUCAUCAUGGUUCAGCUUCCUCAUUUGUCAUGGUGAGGGAAAAGUGAAAUGCAGUGACCCAGACAGAUGGGAUAUGGACUCAAACACACAUGGUAAAUGUGCGGCGAGUCAAGUAUUCUGCAUUGUACUUAUGGCAAGAAGGUUGUCUUUAGCUUAGAGGCUCUUAGCAGAGAGACGGGUGUAGUAGCAAAAGCCGGAAAAAAACUUCAUUUAUUUCGAAGUUAUUCUUACAGUUACUUUGAGGAAUUGAAUGGCAGUUGGGUUUGAUCGUUUACAUAGCAACUAUGGUUUGGGCAAGAUCUUCCCUUGUAUAGCUUUCCUAUUUCUAAAGCACCGUCAUUCCGGUGUGAAACGUCCUCAGCUUUUCUACUGAUGCACGUGCUUGUGUGGGCACAAGUACUCCUAUACACACACCUGGGCAAUGCAUUACAUUUCUUGACACCUCUAGCUGUUUAAAUUCCGAGCCUGCACACAGCUCUUCAGAGACAGCACUUGCACAACGAUGAUGAAGCAUUUCUGUAUGCAAAGACUGUCAGUCAUGCCAGAUUGCACUGUGACAGUGAGAUCCUGAUAAAAAUUAGUUUACAUUUUGAAAAAGGAGCCUCAAAAAGGGAAAGCAUCAUGUAAUUUUAUUGUAGGCUCUCUGAAUUGAUUUAAAUUCCUUUAAAAAAGUGUCCACGCGAUUUCUCUUGCUUCUGGUUUGCUCUGGAAAAUGCACAUGACCGAUCUGCAAUCUGUUCUAAUGGUUGAGUAUUGAUCUAGAAGUCCUCAUUCACAAAUAAGAGGCAUUUGGGCAAAAUGUUUACAGUCUGCUAACAAUGCAGCCCCUCAAAGAGCAGCAAUGACUGUUACAGAAGCAGAGCAUGAAAAUGUCAUCUGCCAUUUCUGCAGCAACCUGCAGCUAUGCCUUCGGGAUCCACUUAUUAAUCAAGCGUUCACCUUCCAGAUGUUCAGCCUCAAUUGGCUGCUGGGGACAUUGCCUUCAAGCAAUGUUGAGAUAUUGGGAGAAUCACAGUUUAAGGUGUUCACAGAAGCUUGCAUACUGUCCUGCAGAAUAUUUGUGCUAUAUUGCUAUGCAAAGGGAAUGAGUAGAUAAGUACCUCUGUCUCUUUUGCUUUUUUUGUUUUGAAGACGGUUUCUUCCUACUGGAUUUCUUGAUGCCUUUCUGUUCUUUCCGUUUUGGAAAGGCAGCAUUGUAUACUUUAGCUCAGCCUCAAUAAGCUUUGAUUGUGAAAUGUAAGAUUUUGAAAACAAGAAAUAAAUUAUCCCUCUUA